rnacentral:rRNA from 2 species
AGUUUGAUCCUGGCUCAGGACGAACGCUGGCGGCGUGCUUAACACAUGCAAGUCGAACGGAAAGGCCCCUUCGGGGGUACUCGAGUGGCGAACGGGUGAGUAACACGUGGGUAAUCUGCCCUGCACUUCGGGAUAAGCCUGGGAAACUGGGUCUAAUACCGGAUAGGACCUCGAGGCGCAUGCCUUUUGGUGGAAAGCUUUUGCGGUGUGGGAUGGGCCCGCGGCCUAUCAGCUUGUUGGUGGGGUGACGGCCUACCAAGGCGACGACGGGUAGCCGGCCUGAGAGGGUGUCCGGCCACACUGGGACUGAGAUACGGCCCAGACUCCUACGGGAGGCAGCAGUGGGGAAUAUUGCACAAUGGGCGCAAGCCUGAUGCAGCGACGCCGCGUGGGGGAUGACGGCCUUCGGGUUGUAAACCUCUUUCAGCAGGGACGAAGCGCAAGUGACGGUACCUGCAGAAGAAGCACCGGCCAACUACGUGCCAGCAGCCGCGGUAAUAC